UACAGAGGUCUCGAGCGUUGUUCGGAUUCAUUGGGCGUAAAGGGUGCGUAGGUGGCGAGGUUAGUCAGGUGUGAAAUCUCGGGGCUCAACCCCGAAACUGCACUUGAUACUGCCUUGCUCGAGUACUGGAGAGGAGAUUGGAAUUUACGGUGUAGCAGUGAAAUGCGUAGAUAUCGUAAGGAAGACCAGUGGCGAAGGCGAAUCUCUGGACAGUUACUGACACUGAGGCACGAAGGCCAGGGGAGCAAACGGG
rnacentral:rRNA from 1 species